rnacentral:lncRNA from 1 species
UGAGAUUGGAGAAGAGACAUGAGUCCACCAGUGAAUCACAUAGGCUAGGUCAAAACAAAUAGAUGUUUUUUAUCAACAUCAGAGAAACUGAAACCAAUGUACUAUUCCCAGAAACCAGUGAUUUUACCUGGAUUCCACCAUGCCGGU